CUCAGAUCUAGAGAUUCAAGGACAUCACACCAGCAUCAGCUCAGCUCUGAUUAGGACCUCAGCAAAAUGGCGUCACAAUGGCACAAAUGUGAAGAGCUCACAUUUCCAAACAGGAAGCAAGACUGACUCAGGAGUCAACUAACUCACAAAACUUCAGUGGUCCUGUGAGAGCUUCCUUAAUCCCUCCCCAAGAUCAGCUUCUCCAAUGGGGACCUCUGACAAGGCUCCAAUGUCUUUUAAGUGCCAUACUGUCUCCCAAUGCCAUCACCCUGGGAGCAAGCUUCCAACACACGAACCUCUGUUCCAGAGUACCUUUGUAGGCAAAUUAAGGCAUAGCUGUCCCACACUAAUGACAACACUGGGAAGAUUAAGAAGAAGGCAAUACCUUUAACAGUCCUUCAAGUACAUCUGGGAAGGAAGUUGCCCAGGACGUGAAUAAAGUCAAGGAAGAGUCCAAUUUUAGGAAACCAGUACAUUUAAAUCACACAGCAGUAAUCUGGGGGAAUUCAAUGUUUAAUUUGGGAAUUAUCUUCCCAAGGAGAAAUACUUUAAACACCAAUAUUUUGAAAGUUUCAUUUCUUUGGAUGGAAAUGUUUCUGACAUACUGUUUUUCUGCCUUAAAAAGUAGAAUAUCUUAACCAGGUGUGGUGGUGAACACCUGUAAUCCCCAGCACUCUAGGAGGCUGAGGUAUGACUGCAAAAUUCAACCCCAGCCUCGGCAAAUUAGCAACUUAGACUCGGCUGCAAAAUUUUAAAAAUGAAAAAAAAAAAAAAGAGAGAGAGCUGGGAAUGUUGCUCAGUGCAAAGGCCCUGAGUAACUAUCUCUAAUAACACACACAUGUGCGCGCGCACACACACACACACACACACAUACACACACACAUACACACACACACACACGUAGAAUAUCCUGAGUAUGAUUUAAUCUUUCAUUCACAGCUCAGGAGGAUACCAGUUACUACAAGGGCCUGUAGUACAAGCUCACACCACAGAUAUGCUUAUUCCAAAAUAAAACAAUCCUACAUACCCACAUUUUUCUAGCUCUUCUGCCCAUUAAACCAAACCCAUGUUCUCAUAGGACUUAUAUUCCAAUGCAGAAGACAGGGAACCCAUCAGUAAUGAACAAAUGGAUAAAUAAAAAGGGAUGUUAGACAGUGGCAUUCAGGCAAAUCAACCAAAAUGGGAGAAACGGAGUUCCAGGGUCAGAGGGACUGCAGUUUGAAGGAAUGGCCACAGAAGGUCUCGCCAAGGAGGUGAGGUCUGAGCACAGCCUUCCACUAUGAUUGUGGGUGUUUGUCUCUCUGAGUGAGUC
rnacentral:lncRNA from 1 species